AGAGUUUGAUCAUGGCUCAGGACGAACGCUGGCGGCGUGCCUAAUACAUGCAAGUCGAGCGGACAGAAGGGAGCUUGCUCCCGGAUGUUAGCGGCGGACGGGUGAGUAACACGUGGGUAACCUGCCUGUAAGACUGGGAUAACUCCGGGAAACCGGAGCUAAUACCGGAUAGUUCCUUGAACCGCAUGGUUCAAGGAUGAAAGACGGUUUCGGCUGUCACUUACAGAUGGACCCGCGGCGCAUUAGCUAGUUGGUGGGGUAAUGGCUCACCAAGGCGACGAUGCGUAGCCGACCUGAGAGGGUGAUCGGCCACACUGGGACUGAGACACGGCCCAGACUCCUACGGGAGGCAGCAGUAGGGAAUCUUCCGCAAUGGUCGAAAGUCUGACGGAGCAACGCCGCGUGAGUGAUGAAGGUUUUCGGAUCGUAAAGCUCUGUUGUUAGGGAAGAACAAGUGCGAGAGUAACUGCUCGCACCUUGACGGUACCUAACCAGAAAGCCACGGCUAACUACGUGCCAGCAGCCGCGGUAAUACGUAGGUGGCAAGCGUUGUCCGGAAUUAUUGGGCGUAAAGGGCUCGCAGGCGAUUACUUAAGUCUGAUGUGAAAGCCCCCGGCUCAACCGGGAGGGUCAUUGGAAACUGGGAAACUUGAGUGCAGAAGAGGAGAGUGGAAUUCCACGUGUAGCGGUGAAAUGCGUAGAGAUGUGGAGGAACACCAGUGGCGAAGGCGACUCUCUGGUCUGUAACUGACGCUGAGGAGCGAAAGCGUGGGGAGCGAACAGGAUUAGAUACCCUGGUAGUCCACGCCGUAAACGAUGAGUGCUAAGUGUUAGGGGGGUUUCCGCCCCUUAGUGCUGCAGCUAACGCAUUAAGCACUCCGCCUGGGGAGUACGGUCGCAAGACUGAAACUCAAAGGAAUUGACGGGGGCCCGCACAAGCGGUGGAGCAUGUGGUUUAAUUCGAAGCAACGCGAAGAACCYUACCAGGUCUUGACAUCCUCUGACAACCCUAGAGAUAGGGCUUUCCCUUCGGGGGCAGAGUGACAGGUGGUGCAUGGUUGUCGUCAGCUCGUGUCGUGAGAUGUUGGGUUAAGUCCCGCAACGAGCGCAACCCUUGAUCUUAGUUGCCAGCAUUCAGUUGGGCACUCU
rnacentral:rRNA from 1 species